GGCAUGGUGGUGUAGUGGAUGCAUCACUGCCUGUCAAUCAAUCAGCCUGGGUUCGAUUCCUCAACCUGCCC
rnacentral:tRNA from 1 species